CAAAAACAUGUCCUUUUGUUUAUAUAAAAGGUUUGACCUGCCCUAUGAUUUUUAUUUAAUGGCUGCAGUAUUUUGACUGUACAAAGGUAGCAUAAUCAUUUGUCUUUUAAUUGAAGUCUGGAAUGAAUGGUUUGAUGAAAAAUAGACUUUCUUUAUUUUAUAUAAAAAAUUUAAUUUUUUAGUCAAAAAGCUAAAAUUUUUUUAUAGGACGAGAAGACCCUAUAGAACUUUAUUUUUAUUAAUUUUGUAAUUAGAUUAGGAAAUGUCUUGAUAUAUGAUUGAGAAAAUUUUGUUGGGGUGACAGAAAAAAUUAAAUAACUUUUUCUUAUUUAAUCAUUAUUAGUGAAUUUUUGAUCCUUUUUUAGGGAUGGAAGAUUAAGUUACCUUAGGGAUAACAGCGUUAUUGUUUCAGAGAGUUCAUAUCGAUGAAAUAGUUUGCGACCUCGAUGUUGGAUUAUAAUAAGAUGUAGGAGUAGAAUAUUAUGUUCAAGGCCUGUUCGACCUUUAAAUUUUUACAUGAUCUGAGUUCAAACCGGA
rnacentral:rRNA from 1 species